GAAAAAUAGAUUGCCCUGAUGCAGUGUAGUGCCGGUUACAAAAAGCUCUGGAUAAUUAACAUUAAGAUCAAAUAACAGACUCUAACCCAACCUAAACUGCUUUAUGCUUUAGUUUUAGUUUCACAGUCCCUUGAAAUACCAUGUCAAGUAGGAUACACAUUUACAUUCCAUUUAGCUCUAAGUGGAGAUAAUUGUGCACAAAUGGGUGCAGUUUUGAAUGCCUGAUAAGGAGCAUGCAAAAGGCUAUUAGUGUGUGUAUGUGUGUGCACACCAUUGAGCAUGCAUAUGUGUUCUGAAGGUGUAUUUGUGUGGAUGCAGUUUAUGGUGUUUAUUUAGCUUUGGGGGAAGCCCUGUGCCCAUUGUUCAUAAAACCCCAUAUAUGGUAAUGUAAACACUGUGCUUCGUAACGCCUCUGGAGCAUACACACAAAAAUGAAUGAACACAGGAAGACUCACUCUGGCAGGAAGUGGCAGCUGCUGCCAUGGUAACAAACUGAAACCCGAAUCAGAGAGGGAGAUUCGCCUCUUUCACUGUCUUGACGUCAUUUCUAGUACACUACGACUAUAACGCUGCAGCUGCAAAGCAGACACAGUGCAAAAGAAAAAUACAGAGAACUUUCGAAUGCUCACAGAAAAAAAAAAGAACACAAGCACCCCCACCCCCAGCACCCUCAAAAAGGCAAAAAAAAAAAAAAAAGUAAAAAAACCCCAAAAACGUUUGGCCUAUGCCCUUUUAAGAAAGUCAUUGCACUGGAAAAUCCCCAUAUGUUCACCCCCUAUCAAGGACAAUGAUUAUAAAGCAGCACUGACAUCACUGGCUGUAACAAUGGCACAUUAUCAAAAGUGCGACCAUAUGGUUCACGUGCAAGUGGCAAAGUUAUAGUUACAACUCCUUUGUAAACUCCAGCAUCUCUCACUUUUACAGAUUAGUGGUGUGUGAAGCAAACUGAUUCUUUUUUCUUAUUGUUUACAAAAGUAGUAGCUCAGUAAGCAUUUGCUUCUCAGUUCAUGCUGAUGGUGCCAGCAUGUCUUUAUCACAAUGAGAAGAGAGACUGUGAAAACAGUCAGAUAAAUAUAAAAAUAAAGAGAAUAAAAACUAACAAGGGAAAAAGCAGUUUAACGAUGAUGCAAAGUAGGAAAAUGUGGGUGUGCAUGUACACUUUAUGGACAAAGUUAAAAAAAAAUGUCAGAAGGACACAUGCUGCCAGUUUUCAGGUCAUGACACAAAUGCAGUAUGUCAUAGUCCUCAAUGCCCUCCAGGC
ensembl:lncRNA